CCAUUUCUGUUCCAAAAUAAAGAUUACAACAGUAAGAAAGCAGCCCUACCACAUGACACCACAAGGUGGCACUACACACGCAAGCCAUAAGGGGUGUCUGAGACAAGCUUGCUGGAUCUGGUACCCCUUCACCAUGCUGCUUAAUAAACAGAGGUCAUGCACGCAGUCGGCACAUGAAAUGCUACAAACCAAAGAAUUAUUUUUAUCCUCCUGAGGAUGACUGAAUAUGAACCACAUAGUAAGAGAGUGACAGUAGUACUCCCUGCUGACAAUGCUGCAUGGACACAACGGAGCACUCCAUCGGCACAACCUGCUGAAAUGAUAUAGACAAAGGUCUUGGAUAUGACCAGACUCCGGACGAUACUAAACUCGAGUGUGACAUCAGCUUGAGCAGAACAGACAACGCAAACUGUAACAGCACUGUAUUUACUACAGAAGGAGAGGGGAAGGGGCCACAGUAAAGUUGCAAGGACAUUCAUAAAAAGGAGGAAGAUAAAAGUACAUUUACAGAGAAGUCCUAACUGAACUCUCAAACCAGAAAGCGGAGAAAUCAAUGGGGCCAGAUGGGCUACAUCCAAAGAUACUAAAAAAGCUCACAGGGGUCUUGGUAGCACCAUUAACAGAAUUAUACAACCAGUUGCUAGCUACAGGAGUAAUUCCAGAGCAUUGAAAAAGAUCAAAUGUAAUCCCACUACACAAAAGUGGAAUUAAGGAAGAGGCAAGCAACUGCCGACCAGUGAGCCUAACAUCACUAGUAGAGAAAAUAAUGGAAAGAAUUAAAAGAAAGAUGCAGACUCUCUCAAAUCUAGCAAUUUUCAAGAUACCAAACAGCAUGGAUUUAUGGCUUUACUGGGGGUUAGAUCAUGCCAAACAAAUAUUGACUUUUGAGACUGGGUGACUAAAGUAAUAGCUCAAGUGGGGGAAGAGGGGCAUAGAUGUAACUUAUCUAGACUUAGUAAGGCUUUUGACACUGUCCCCCAUCGCAGACUGCUAAAUAAACUGGAAAUCUUGGGA